GGGGGGUUGGGAUAAUCGGUAGUCCAAAGGAUUGCUAAUCCUUCCUACCUGUAAAAGGUAGUGCACGUUCGAGUCGUGUACUCCCCG
rnacentral:tRNA from 1 species